AGGGGAAUAUUGCGCAAUGGGGGAAACCCUGACGCAGCGACGCCGCGUGCGGGAUGAAGGCCUUCGGGUUGUAAACCGCUUUUGAGUGGGAGCAAGCUUUCGGGUGAGUGUACCUUUCGAAUAAGCGCCGGCUAACUACGUGCCAGCAGCCGCGGUAAUACGUAGGGCGCAAGCGUUAUCCGGAAUUAUUGGGCGUAAAGAGCUUGUAGGCGGUUCGUCGCGUCUGGUGUGAAAGCCCAUCGCUUAACGGUGGGUUUGCGCCGGGUACGGGCGGGCUAGAGUGCAGUAGGGGAGACUGGAAUUCCCGGUGUAACGGUGGAAUGUGUAGAUAUCGGGAAGAACACCAAUGGCGAAGGCAGGUCUCUGGGCUGUUACUGACGCUGAGAAGCGAAAGCGUGGGGAGCGAACAGG
rnacentral:rRNA from 1 species